UCAGCUCGUGUCGUGAGAUGUUGGGUUAAGUCCGUAACGAGCGCAACCCUUGUCCUUAGUUACCAGCACGUUAUGGUGGGCACUCUAAGGAGACUGCCGGUGACAAACCGGAGGAAGGUGGGGAUGACGUCAAGUCAUCAUGGCCCUUACGGCCUGGGCUACACACGUGCUACAAUGGUCGGUACAAAGGGUUGCCAAGCCGCGAGGUGGAGCUAAUCCCAUAAAACCGAUCGUAGUCCGGAUCGCAGUCUGCAACUCGACUGCGUGAAGUCGGAAUCGCUAGUAAUCGUGAAUCAGAAUGUCACGGUGAAUACGUUCCCGGGCCUU
rnacentral:rRNA from 1 species